rnacentral:rRNA from 1 species
AGCGAACGCUGGCGGCAGGCCUAACACAUGCAAGUCGAACGAAGUCUUCGGACUUAGUGGCGGACGGGUGAGUAACACGUGGGAACGUGCCUUUAGGUUCGGAAUAACUCAGGGAAACUUGUGCUAAUACCGAAUGUGCCCUUCGGGGGAAAGAUUUAUCGCCUUUAGAGCGGCCCGCGUCUGAUUAGCUAGUUGGGGAGGUAAAGGCUAACAAAGGCGACGAUCAGUAGCUGGUCUGAGAGGAUGAUCAGCCACAUUGGGACUGAGACACGGCCCAAACUCCUACGGGAGGCAGCAGUGGGGAAUCUUGCGCAAUGGGCGAAAGCCUGACGCAGCCAUGCCGCGUGAAUGAUGAAGGUCUUAGGAUUGUAAAAUUCUUUCACCGGGGACGAUAAUGACGGUACCCGGAGAAGAAGCCCCGGCUAACUUCGUGCCAGCCGCCGCAGUAAGAC